rnacentral:rRNA from 1 species
CCUACGGGGGACAGCAGUCGAGAAUCAUUCACAAUGGGGGAAACCCUGAUGGUGCGACGCCGCGUGGGGGAAUGAAGGUCUUCGGAUUGUAAACCCCUGUCAUGUGGGAGCAAAUUAAAAAGAUAGUACCACACGAGGAAGAGACGGCUAACUCUGUGCCAGCAGCCGCGGUAAUACAGAGGUCUCAAGCGUGGUUCGGAAUCACUGGGCGUAAAGCGUGCGUAGGCUGUUUCGUAAGUCGUGUGUGAAAGGCGCGGGCUCAACCCGCGGACGGCACAUGAUACUGCGAGACUAGAGUAAUGGAGGGGGAACCGGAAUUCGCGGUGUAGCAGUGAAAUGCGUAGAUAUCGAGAGGAACACUCGUGGCGAAGGCGGGUUCCUGGACAUUAACUGACGCUGAGGCACGAAGGCCAGGGGAGCGAAAGGGAUUAGAUACCCGUGUAGUC